ACUUUGCACCCCGUAACCGGUUUGCAUUUAUCGGUCCGAUAAAGCAAUGAAAAGGGAAUCGGGUGUAAAUCCCGAACAGGCCCGCUGCUGUGAAGUUCAUGAUGGUUUCAGACACAUACUGCAAUGCCACUAAUCGGAGCGCGAUUGGGAAGGCGUCUGAAAAGGGAACAAGUCAGAAGACCUGCCGGUUGCCCGGAAUGGAU
rnacentral:ncRNA from 2 species